rnacentral:other from 1 species
GUUUCAAUCCCUCCCAGGUAGGCUACAAAC